rnacentral:tRNA from 1 species
GAGGGGUGGCAGAAAAAUGCUUUAGGCCUAAGCCCUAACCAUGAGUUAAAUCUCCCCUUCCA